rnacentral:lncRNA from 1 species
AUAAGACUAAAGCGACUGGUAUGUAGAGCGAAGCAGAAGCAAACUAGCUUACGAAAUAUUUAUCAAAGUCUAAUCUAACUUGCACUUCCAAUUUUGAACAUGAGAAACAGGUAAGUUUUAAAAACUACAAUCACAUACCAGGAAGAGUUUCAGCCUUCUCUCCGGUGAACUUGCAAGUUUCAGAUGGGAACUCCGGCAAGCUAAAGAUGCCUGAGGCUUUGACAGCUUCUCGUAACUUCUUCCACC